GAUGAAGAACGUAGCGAAAUGCGAUAAGUAAUGUGAAUUGCAGAAUUCAGUGAAUCAUCGAAUCUUUGAACGCACAUUGCGCCCCCUGGUAUUCCGGGGGGCAUGCCUGUUCGAGCGUCAUUACUACCCUCAAGCUCUGCUUGGUAUUGGGCCCCGCCAGUUCUGGCGGGCCCUAAAGUCAGUGGCGGUGCCUUCCGGCUCCGAGCGUAGUAAUUCUUCUCGCUCUGGAGACCCGGUUGUGUGCUUGCCAACAACCCCCAAUUUUUUAAGGUUGACCUCGGAUCAGGUAGGGAUACCAGCUGAACUUAAGCAUAUCAAUAAGCGGAGGA
rnacentral:misc_RNA from 1 species